rnacentral:rRNA from 1 species
UAAAAAAAGGUAAGCUACUAAGAGCGAAUGGUGGAUGCCUUGACUGGUAAAGGCGAUGAAGGACGUACUAGACUGCGAUAAGCUACGGGGAGCUGUCAAGAAGCUUUGAUCCGUAGAUUUCCGAAUGGGGCAACCCAAUGUAUAGAGAUAUACAUUACCUAUAUAGGAGCGAACGAGGGGAAUUGAAACAUCUUAGUACCCUCAGGAAAAGAAAUCAAUAGAGAUUGCGUCAGUAGCGGCGAGCGAAAGCGCAAGAGGGCAAACCCAGUGCUUGCACUGGGGGUUGUAGGACUGCAAUGUGCAAGAGGUAAGUUUAGCAGAACAUUCUGGAAAGUAUAACCAUAGAGGGUGAUAGUCCCGUAUGCGAAAAACAAACCUUAGCUAGCAGUAUCCUGAGUAGGGCGGGACACGAGGAAUCCUGUCUGAAUCCGGGUCGACCACGAUCCAACCCUAAAUACUAAUACCAGAUCGAUAGUGCACAAGUACCGUGAGGGAAAGGUGAAAAGAACUGAGGUGAUCAGAGUGAAAUAGAACCUGAAACCAUUUGCUUACAAUCAUUCAGAGCCCUAUGUAGCAAUACAGGGUGAUGGACUGCCUUUUGCAUAAUGAGCCUGCGAGUUGUGGUGUCUGGCAAGGUUAAGCAAACGCGAAGCCGUAGCGAAAGCGAGUCUGAAUAGGGCGCUUAGUCAGAUGCUGCAGACCCGAAACGAAGUGAUCUAUCCAUGAGCAAGUUGAAGCUAGUGUAAGAACUAGUGGAGGACUGAACCCAUAGGCGUUGAAAAGCCCCGGGAUGACUUGUGGAUAGGGGUGAAAGGCCAAUCAAACUUCGUGAUAGCUGGUUCUCUCCGAAAUAUAUUUAGGUAUAGCGUUGUGUCGUAAUAUAAGGGGGUAGAGCACUGAAUGGGCUAGGGCAUACACCAAUGUACCAAACCCUAUCAAACUCCGAAUACCUUAUAUGUAAUCACAGCAGUCAGGCGGCGAGUGAUAAAAUCCGUCGUCAAGAGGGAAACAACCCAGACUACCAGCUAAGGUCCCUAAAUCUUACUUAAGUGGAAAACGAUGUGAAGUUACUUAAACAACCAGGAGGUUGGCUUAGAAGCAGCCAUCCUUUAAAGAAAGCGUAAUAGCUCACUGGUCUAGUGAUUUUGCGCGGAAAAUAUAACGGGGCUAAAGUAAGUACCGAAGCUGUAGACUUGCACACAACUUAGAUUAUUUAAGUUUAGAAUAUUAAGAAACUAAGUUAUAUGUUUUAGUUAUAUUUUUACUGAUUUUUAUAGGGUAAAGAUAGAAAUAAAACUUAGUAAAAUCAGUAAAAAUAUUCUUAGGCUAAAGUUAAGUAGUUUAAGUUGUGUGCAAGUGGUAGGAGAGCGUUCUAUUUGCGUCGAAGGUAUACCGGUAAGGAGUGCUGGAGCGAAUAGAAGUGAGCAUGCAGGCAUGAGUAGCGAUAAUUAAUGUGAGAAUCAUUAACGCCGUAAACCCAAGGUUUCCUACGCGAUGCUCGUCAUCGUAGGGUUAGUCGGGUCCUAAGUCGAGUCCGAAAGGGGUAGACGAUGGCAAAUUGGUUAAUAUUCCAAUACCAACAUUAGUGUGCGAUGGAAGGACGCUUAGGGCUAAGGGGGCUAGCGGAUGGAAGUGCUAGUCUAAGGUCGUAGGAGGUUAUACAGGCAAAUCCGUAUAACAAUACUCCGAGAACUGAAAGGCUUUUUGAAGUCUUCGGAUGGAUAGAAGAACCCCUGAUGCCGUCGAGCCAAGAAAAGUUUCUAAGUUUAGCUAAUGUUGCCCGUACCGUAAACCGACACAGGUGGGUGGGAUGAGUAUUCUAAGGCGCGUGGAAGAACUCUCUUUAAGGAACUCUGCAAAAUAGCACCGUAUCUUCGGUAUAAGGUGUGGUUAGCUUUGUAUUAGGAUUUACUCCGAAAGCAAGGAAACUUACAACAAAGAGUCCCUCCCGACUGUUUACCAAAAACACAGCACUCUGCUAACUCGUAAGAGGAUGUAUAGGGUGUGACGCCUGCCCGGUGCUCGAAGGUUAAUUGAUGGGGUUAGCAUUAGCGAAGCUCUUGAUCGAAGCCCGAGUAAACGGCGGCCGUAACUAUAACGGUCCUAAGGUAGCGAAAUUCCUUGUCGGUUAAAUACCGACCUGCAUGAAUGGCGUAACGAGAUGGGAGCUGUCUCAAAGAGGGAUCCAGUGAAAUUGUAGUGGAGGUGAAAAUUCCUCCUACCCGCGGCAAGACGGAGAGACCCCGUGGACCUU